UCUCGGCUUAUCACCGGCAGUCCCCCUAGAGUGCCCAACCAAAUGAUGGCAACUAGGGGCGAGGGUUGCGCUCGUUGCGGGACUUAACCCAACAUCUCACGACACGAGCUGACGACAGCCAUGCAGCACCUGUGUUACGGUUCUCUUUCGAGCACUAAGCCAUCUCUGGCAAAUUCCGUACAUGUCAAAGGUGGGUAAGGUUUUUCGCGUUGCAUCGAAUUAAAGAACAUGCUCCGCUGCUUGUGCGGGCCCCCGUCAAUUCUUUUGAGUUUUAGCCUUGCGGCCGUACUCCCCAGGCGGGACACUUAAUGCGUUAGCUGCGGCACAGAGGGAUUCGACUCCCCCCACACCUAGUGUCCAUCGUUUACGGCUAGGACUAC
rnacentral:misc_RNA from 1 species